rnacentral:rRNA from 1 species
AGGACGAACGCUGGCGGCGUGCUUAACACAUGCAAGUCGAGCGGAAAGGACCUUCGGGGUACUCGAGCGGCGAACGGGUGAGUAACACGUGAGUAAUCUGCCUUUAGCUCUGGGAUAGGCUCCGGGAAACCGGGAUUAAUACCGGAUAUGACCACUUUAGACAUCUGUUGUGGUGGAAAGUUUUUCGGCUAGAGAUGAGCUCGGCGGCCUAUCAGCUUGUUGGUGGGGUAACGGCCUACCAAGGCGACGACGGGUA